rnacentral:lncRNA from 1 species
UGGAAAGUUAAUAGUCCUAACUAAGCCUUUUCCCUUGCAGGAACCAGGCUUCGCCAAGGUCUUUCCUUUGAGACACCAUUUGUCUGGCGUGACAAGCAGCCGCAGCAGGACUGAGGCAAUAUGCCUGGCUUCUGCUCCGGCACCUUCUGGGAUGAGGCUUGAUGAGGAAUGAAAUCGUGGCGCUAACGUGUUACCUUGAAAUGGAGCAGCUUGACAUACUCCAAACAGUUCUUUGAGACUCUCUGGAGACGGGCAUCAGUGCUCAGCGAUGUUUCGAUCAGGCCAGGCAGGCAAUAGAAGCGCAAAUUGGGUGGCUUGCUGAGAGCACGUAGGAAUGGCCAUGCUAGUGAUGGAGGGAAAAUCCAGAUCUCCCAAGUACCAGGCCAGCAUCUCCAUAAAAGAUCAUCCUUCUGUAUGGUUUCUGCCCUGGUUCCUGCAUGACGCUCAGCUCUCCUGUGCCUGAAGCGGAGCCUGUGCUUGGGACAAUGCACGCAGCAGCUGAUGGAGAAUGCACCAGGAAUUUGGGGGUGCUCAGACCUGUGCCACGAUCCACUCUCUGCUGGAGACUCCUUGGGUGGGGAUGUCAUGGAAGUACUGCAGGAUCCUUAAGUGUUUGCCAAGCUGCUAAGAGAGGGAGGGUCUGGCUGGCCAACCCUCUGAAGUGGUGGCAGAAGAGAAGGCAAGUGAGCCGGCCUGAGCAGCUGAGGCACCAGGUCAGCACUGGCAAUCCGCAUGUUAACCACAGGAAGGGAGAGGAUGGUGGCCUAGUGCUUCAGGUACAACCAGGAUAUUCCUCUCUGCAUCCUGUAGACACCAGUGAACAGUACAAGUUUUGCUGCCUCCUCACCUUCGCCUUUUCAGCAGCUCCCAGCUCAGCGACUUUCUUCCAUUUUCCUCCUCACUGCGCCAAGGACAACAGUUUGUCAUCGUGCUGAGUAUACCACAGCACAGCAUCGCAGGUGUGCAGCACGUGCCAGAACGACUUCCUUUUCUUCAGCUGGAACCUAAGACAAAGAAAAGAGUUUGUUGUAACGAGCCACUUACGGAGCAUUUCAUCUUGACAUUGGCAGCGCUAGCACAAGAAAAGUCAAUGCCACAACUUUCCUGCUUUUAAGGACAGCACCCAGAGGAGGAUGGAGCCUUGAGGUCCU